rnacentral:rRNA from 1 species
UUACGGUCAAAUCACGCUGAAACACCGGUUCUCGUUUGAUCACCGAAGUUAAGCAUCGUAGAGCCAGGUCAGUACUUAGAUGGGGGACCGCUUGGGAACACCUGGUACUGUAAG